CGGAAUGGCUCAGUUGGUAGAGCGACGCAUUCGUAAUGCGUAGGUCGUGGGUUCGAGUCCCAUUUCCG
rnacentral:tRNA from 1 species